GACGAACCGUGCAAACGUUGUUCGGAAUCACUGGGCUUAAAGGGCGCGUAGGCGGGCCAGACAGUCUGUGGUGAAAGCCUCCAGCUUAACUGGAGAAGUGCCGUGGAUACUGCUGGCCUCGAGGAGGGUAGGGGCAUCUGGAACGGUCGGUGGAGCGGUGAAAUGCGUUGAUAUCGACCGGAACUCCGGUGGCGAAGGCGGGUCUCUGGGCCGAUACUGACGCUGAGGAGCGAAAGCGUGGGGAGCGAACAGG
rnacentral:rRNA from 1 species